GUUCCUACGGGGGGCAGCAGUGAGGAAUAUUGGUCAAUGGGCGGGAGCCUGAACCAGCCAAGUCGCGUGAAGGAAGAAGGUACUUAGUAUUGUAAACCUCUUUUGUCAGGGAACAAAGGCGGGGACGUGUCCCCGGAUGAGUGUACCUGAAGAAAAAGCAUCGGCUAACUCCGUGCCAGCAGCCGCGGUAAUACGGAGGAUGCGAGCGUUAUCCGGAUUUAUUGGGUUUAAAGGGUGCGUAGGCGGUUUGAUAAGUUAGAGGUGAAAUGUCGGGGCUCAACCCCGAAACUGCCUCUAAUACUGUU
rnacentral:rRNA from 1 species